UACGUAGGGGGCAAGCGUUGUCCGGAAUUACUGGGCGUAAAGCGCACGUAGGCGGAUUGUUUAGUCAGGGGUGAAAUCCCGAGGCUCAACCUCGGAACUGCCUUUGAUACUGGCAAUCUCGAGUCCGGAAGAGGUGAGUGGAAUUCCUAGUGUAGAGGUGAAAUUCGUAGAUAUUAGGAAGAACACCAGUGGCGAAGGCGGCUCACUGGUCCGGUACUGACGCUGAGGUGCGAAAGCGUGGGGAGCAAACAGG
rnacentral:rRNA from 1 species